UCCCUAUUCCCCUCACAACGAAUGCCAAUAUAGUGAAAAUCAGGCGUUUCUCAUGUAAUAACAGAAAAUUUGGCGAUAUGUUAAGGCCAUAGAGAGAUAUAACUGGUCUGAGAUUACAUAACUCGGGAUAUCUUUGGAGUCCGUAGUUAAAAGACAAAACCUGCAGGAUUGGCAAACAAAUAUUGACUGUUCUCGCCUGGAUCAGAAUAUUUCUAGCAAGAUCAUUGCUGGCUAUG
rnacentral:lncRNA from 1 species